rnacentral:rRNA from 1 species
GAUGAACGCUGGCGGCGUGCCUAAUACAUGCAAGUCGAGCGAAUGGAUUAAGAGCUUGCUCUUAUGAAGUUAGCGGCGGACGGGUGAGUAACACGUGGGUAACCUGCCCAUAAGACUGGGAUAACUCCGGGAAACCGGGGCUAAUACCGGAUAAUAUUUUGAACUGCAUGGUUCAAAAUUGAAAGGCGGCUUCGGCUGUCACUUAUGGAUGGACCCGCGUCGCAUUAGCUGGUUGGUGAGGUAACGGCUCACCAAGGCAACGAUGCGUAGCCGACCUGCGAGGGUGAUCGGACACACUGGGACUGAGAAACGGCCCAGACUCCUACGGGAGGCAGCAGUAGGGAAUCUUCCGCAAGGGACGAAAGUCUGACGGAGCAACGCCGCGUGAGUGGUGAAGGCUUUCGGGUCGUAAAACUCUGUUGUUAGGGAAGAACAAGUGCUAGUUGAAUAAGCUGGCACCUUGACGGUACCUAACCAGAAAGCCACGGCUAACUACGUGCCAGCAGCCGCCGUAA